rnacentral:rRNA from 1 species
AGUGAACGCUGGCGGUAGGCCUAACACAUGCAAGUCGAACGGCAGCACAGUAAGAGCUUGCUCUUACGGGUGGCGAGUGGCGGACGGGUGAGGAAUACAUCGGAAUCUACUUUUUCGUGGGGGAUAACGUAGGGAAACUUACGCUAAUACCGCAUACGACCUACGGGUGAAAGCAGGGGAUCUUCGGACCUUGCGCGAUUGAAUGAGCCGAUGUCGGAUUAGCUAGUUGGCGGGGUAAAGGCCCACCAAGGCGACGAUCCGUAGCUGGUCUGAGAGGAUGAUCAGCCACACUGGAACUGAGACAAGGUCCAGACUCCUACGGGAGGCAGCAAUGGGGAAUAUUGGACAAUGGGCGCAAGCCUGAUCCAGCCAUACCGCGUGGGUGAAGAGGGCCUUCGGGUUGUAAAGCCCUUUUGUUGGGAAAGAAAAGCAGCAGGUUAAUACCCCGCUGUUCUGACGGUACCCAAAGAAUAAGCACCGGCUAACUUCGUG